UACGGGGGGAGCAAGCGUUGUUCGGAAUCACUGGGCGUAAAGGGAGUCUAGGCGGUUUGGUAAGUGGGAUGUGAAAUGCCCGGGCUCACCCCGGGACCUGCAUCCCAAACUGCUGAGCUUGAGUACAGGAGAGGGUGGGGGAAUUCCAGGUGUAGCGGUGAAAUGCGUAGAUAUCUGGAGGAACACCGGUGGCGAAGGCGCCCACCUGGCCUGCUACUGACGCUGAAGCGCGAAAGCUAGGGGAGCAAACGGG
rnacentral:rRNA from 1 species